CUUACCAGGGCUUGACAUAUACAGGACGCUGCUAGAGAUAGCAGUUUCUCUUCGGAGACUUGUUUACAGGUGCUGCAUGGUUGUCGUCAGCUCGUGCCGUGAGGUGUUGGGUUAAGUCCCGCAACGAGCGCAACCCCUGUUGUCUGUUACCAUCAUUAAGUUGGGGACUCAGGCAAGACUGCCGGUGACAAACCGGAGGAAGGUGGGGAUGACGUCAAAUCAUCAUGGCCCUUAUGUCCUGGGCUACACACGUGCUACAAUGGCCGGUACAAAGUGAUGCGAAGCAGCGAUGUGGAGCAAAACGCAGAAAGCCGGUCUCAGUUCGGAUUGGAGUCUGAAACUCGACUCCAUGAAGGUGGAAUCGCUAGUAAUCGCGCAUCAGCAUGGCGCGGUGAAUACGUUCCCUGGCCUUGUACACACCGCCCGUCACACCACCCGAGUCGGGGGUACCCGAAGUCAGCAGGCUAACCUAUCAGGAGGCCACUGCCGAAGGUAUGCUCGGUAAGGGGGGUGAAGUCGUAACAAGGUAGA
rnacentral:rRNA from 1 species